AGCAACAUGGCGCAGGGGUAGCGCGCGGGGCUCAUAUAACCGGUCACGUGACUGGUCAAUCGACACCCCGAGGUCACUGGAUCGAAACCAGUUGUUGCUA